UACGAAGGGGGCUAGCGUUGCUCGGAAUUACUGGGCGUAAAGGGAGCGUAGGCGGAUAGUUUAGUCAGAGGUGAAAGCCCAGGGCUCAACCUUGGAAUUGCCUUUGAUACUGGCUAUCUUGAGUACGGAAGAGGUAUGUGGAACUCCGAGUGUAGAGGUGAAAUUCGUAGAUAUUCGGAAGAACACCAGUGGCGAAGGCGACAUACUGGUCCGUUACUGACGCUGAGGCUCGAAAGCGUGGGGAGCAAAC
rnacentral:rRNA from 1 species